rnacentral:rRNA from 1 species
UACGUAGGGGGCAAGCGUUGUCCGGAUUUAUUGGGCGUAAAGAGCGUGUAGGCGGCUUGGUAGGUCCGCUGUGAAAACUCGAGGCUCAACCUCGAGAUGUCGGCGGAAACCACUUGGCUAGAGUCCGGAAGAGGAGAGUGGAAUUCCUGGUGUAGCGGUGAAAUGCGCAGAUAUCAGGAAGAACACCCGUGGCGAAAGCGGCUCUCUGGAACGGUACUGACGCUGAGACGCGAAAGCGUGGGAGCGAACAGG